rnacentral:rRNA from 1 species
GACGAACGCUGGCGGCGUGCUUAACACAUGCAAGUCGAACGGUAAGGCCCUUCGGGGUACACGAGUGGCGAACGGGUGAGUAACACGUGGGUGAUCUGCCCUGCACUUCGGGAUAAGCCUGGGAAACUGGAUGUAAUAACAGAAAGGACUACGGACUGCAUGGAGCGGGGUGGCAAGCCUUUGCGGUGUGGGAUGGGGCCUGGGCCUAUCAGCGUGUUGGUGGGGUGGGGGCCUACCGAGGCGACGACGGGUAGCCGGCCCGAGAGGGUGACCGGCGACACUGGGACUGAGAUACGGCCCAGACUCCUACGGGAGGCAGCAGUGGGGAAUAUUGCACAAUGGGCGCAAGCCUGAUGCAGCGACGCCGCGUGAGGGAUGACGGCCUUCGGGUUGUAAACCUCUUUCAGCAUCGACGAAGCGAAAGUGACGGUAGGUGCAGAAGAAGGACCGGCCAACUACGUGCCAGCAGCCGCAGUAA